AAAUACAGCGAGACAAGCCGGUGUCACAAGAAGAACGCGAUUCACCCUGCAUCGUUGUAGUGUGCCUAGAUUGUUUGUUUUACCUGCCUGACAGGAGUUACGAGAAGACUGGCAACAACAGUGGAGACAAUAGAAGGCGUGAAUUUGCCUGUCAGCUAAAGCCUUCAUAUUAACUGCAUUUUCCUGGAGAACCAGACACAUGUUUUGUUAAACCUAGCAAUGGAAUGCAAACUUAUUGAUAAGCAUGGAUGGACAUCUCGCGAGAGGGGCGACGAGAAACAAGAGACCAAGAAACUGACCAACUGUGUAUAACAUUCCAUUCACGUGAAUACUUCAUAUAAAGUGGGAGAUCACGAGGAUCUCGUCGCUUUUCCCCUUUUUGCCUUUUUCACUUCUGCUUAUGGCCGACAUUAGAAGAGGACCUUGCUAGUCGUCCCUGCGAACUGAGGCCUAGUGAGAGACUGAAUCCAGCUCCGAUUGGCUGCAGAGUCUAAUCCAGGACUUCAGAGUGGCAUAUGCUCCAGCCUCAUGAUCACCUUGGCAGCCUGGACCUGCUCCACUAUGUCAAUGGCUUUCUUGUAGUAGAGAGCCCAAAAUGGGACACACUACUCCACAUGAAGUCUCACAAAUGCUGAAUACAGAAGGAUCACUUUCCUGGACCUGCCUGAUACUUUCUAAUAGAGCCUGUCAUCAGAAACACCUCCCCAACGGUUAUGACCUUUCCAAUAUGAGAGAGUGUCCCUGCAAUGACAUCAAGCCAACUCAGCACCCUCAGCUGCAUCUUGUGGAACUACAGUGGGUCCAUGGAUUCCCUGAUAGAGAGCAUGGGAACAGAAAUUAGCCUUGAAGAUAUUAAGGCCUAUCCGUGAGAAAGAUGGGAGUAAAGGAGUAUCUGGAGAUGUUAAGGAUGUACCUGUGAGAGAGAAGGGAGUAGAAGAGUAACACUACUGAUAGCAAAAAUAGCCAAUGAGAUGUUACUGCUGUAACUUGUAACCAAUAGUGAAGAGACACAGGAAUUGGUAAAACUGUAUAAAAAUGCACUUGUGGCAAUAAAUGGCAUCUACUUUCAUCCUGGAAGAA